UACGGGGGGAGCAAGCGUUGUUCGGAAUUACUGGGCGUAAAGCGUGCGCAGGCGGUCUGUUAAGACAGAUGUGAAAUCCCCGGGCUUAACCUGGGAACUGCAUUUGUGACUGGCAGGCUAGAGUAUGGCAGAGGGGGGUAGAAUUCCACGUGUAGCAGUGAAAUGCGUAGAGAUGUGGAGGAAUACCGAUGGCGAAGGCAGCCCCCUGGGCCAAUACUGACGCUCAUGCACGAAAGCGUGGGGAGCAAACAGG
rnacentral:rRNA from 1 species